rnacentral:lncRNA from 1 species
AGAACACAGAACUUCACACCGCCUGCUCGGGCCUGGAGUCCCCCCCCGCCGACCCAUGGGGAGGGCGCAAGGCGCCUUUCAGGGAAGGUGUCUUCGAAAAUGGUCGAGGGGUGAGAGCACUGUGACCCGUCCCUGCCGGGGAUCCUGUGGUGGGACAGCCAGGAUUGGGUCCCUAGCCCGGGGGAGGCAGAAUCUGGGUAAUGGAAGGGAGAAUGGGCUCGCUAUCUGCCCAGAGCUUCCCUGGACUGCAGGAACCCGUCCUAUAAGCAACCCCGAAACUUCGGGGCCCGAGGACCAGGGAAGACCCCCUUUCCUUGCUGUCUUGACAGGGUUGCAGAAGCCAAGGAGUUCGGCAGGGAGACGGGGCUCCUGGGGUGGUUAAGGACGCGGUGACCACCCCUGGGCGGGAGCUGACUCCCGCGGGCCCGGAGGCUCUAGCUCACUCUACAGCAAAUGCUUUUGUUCCCGGAGGCUGCCCUGGGGGAAAGACGCCCCUUACCCCUGCCUUCGACCCUGGAGAGCCCAGUGCCCGCCCGGGCAGGGCUGGAGCCCGAGUCGCCCCAGGCAGAGUCCGCCGAGGCCUGGGGUGGGAGCCGCGACUUCUGGAUCUGCCUCCGAGCUCAGCUAGAAGACUGCGCGCACCUCGUCCGGCGCCGUCCGGCGCGCAGAAGCGGGUCUAAUGUUUAUAACGUUAAUAAUGACAGUUAGGGAGGGCUGUGGAGCCGGGAACCAAGACCUCAUCCCGCCGCCGCCCACGUCUUUGAUCAUUAAAGAAACAGACAACUAAUCAGGGCCCAAGCCUGGUCCGCGCGCGCCCCCUGCUGGAAGCCGCUUGCCGGGCGCAGAGGCGGGUCAACGGCAGAGGGUGCUGGCUGGGCGAGGAAGAUGUGGCUGGAACCCUGCACCAAGGCGACCGCUGCUCACGGCUCUGCAGUCCCGCGGCGCGAUACGCCAGUGGGGCGCGCUUAACCAAAGUCCCGAGGCUUUACUUCCCGUGCCCACCCAGUCUAUGUCCCAGGUAUCAGCAACCUCUGGUCCACUACACAACACAGGCGCUGUCCCUACUUCGCGCUGCGUAGUUUCCAGUGCCCAGGGCGUCUCCUAAUUCUUGAGCGACUAGUCCCUGGCACAAAACCUUCCUAUACACCUCUCCCACUCUCCCUUCUCUCUGAGUCUUAUGACUUUGUCAGGGGCCUAUUAAAAUAAAUGUCUGAGAUCUGGAAAAAAAAAUCUGUUGGCGCUAACAGGGGCAAAGAAAACUGCAAAAUUGGAAGUAAUCGAUGUUUGAUUGAAUGUUUAAGACAUGCGACAUUGUGCAAACGAUUCUGUUGCAACUGCACUCAGAGUUGUACUUGCCCUUGUAUUUUAAUGUGGCACGCGGAGGAUUUAAUGGACUUGCCUAAAGAUGUGGGAAGGGCCUCUGAGAAUAAGAAAGCCGGGGCCCAGAUGGGCAUCAAACAUCCCCAGCAUAGCAGCCGGUUAAGGCUGCGGAGACCUUCCCCAAGGCUGCCCUCCAGUCAGAAGCCCCUGAACACUCACUACUUCCCAUCUUUCAGCUUCUGCGCGCACAGACACACACACACACACACACACACACACACACACACACACACACACACACACACACAAAUGUUCUCUCCAGCCCCACACCCUCAAGAAGCUGCUUUCCUUUUCUAAUUUCCAGUCGAAAGAUCACUCCUCAGGGAAGCCAGGCCCUGUUUAUACUCCCUCCUCCGGCCUUUCCUUGUACAGGUUCUAUGUAGUCGUCAGGCGGGCAGGUCCUAGCGUCAGACUCCAUUAUGUACUGACUGUGUGUCCUUAGCCAAGCUAUUUAACCUCUCUGUGCCUCAAGAAAAAAAGGCAUAAAUAAGAGUACUGACCAGGCGCGGUGGCUCACACCUGUAAUAAUCCCAGCACUUUGGGAGGCCCAGGCGGGCGGAUCACAAGGUCAGGAGUUCGAGACCAGCCUGACCAACAUGGUGAAACCUCGUCUCUGCUAAAAAUACAAAAAUUAGCCGGGCGUGGUGGUGCAUGCCUGUAAUCCCAGCUACUCAGGAGGCUGAGGCAGGAGAAUCUCGGGAGGCAGAGGUUGCAGUGAGCCGAGAUAGUGCCACUGCAUUCCGGCCUGGGCGACAGAGCGAGACUCUGUCUCAAAAAAAAAAAAAAAAAAAAAAAAAUACCUAUGCUUUUCGGUCACCUUGAGGAUUAAAUGAAUCAAUGUACGCAAAGCACUUAGUACCUGACACUUAGUGCUCAGUACUUGAGAUACGUUUUUUAUAUAAUAGCUGAAUUAGCCAUUAUUAUUGCCUUGCAGAGUGGGACACAAGUUUGAUAAAAGGUUCUGCUGCACACACCCCUACAGGCUUGUGUCCUGCCUCCUCCACAGGGGAGCACCUUGGCUCUGCCCCCAGACCUCUUCACCACCACCACCCCCUUUGCACACACACACACCAUGGGUAUAUGUAGAAACCAGAUUUACUAUUAUUAUUUGUAAAGGUUUCUAGUUUCAGAUACUUAGACUGAUGCUUGUCAGCAUGCCUGUUUGCAAAGAGAGACCCGCAACUGCAGACUUGGUGGAAGGUUUUUAAUUAAAACUACAUUCUGUUUAAGUAUUUAUUGGACUUUGUGACUUUAAUUAUUUUCUAGGGAAAAACAAAAAAAUCCACAUUUGCCUAUGAGAAGACUGUUGAUUUCAGAGGAAAGUAGCAACCUGUUGCAGUUUGCUGGAGGCAACUGAGAGGAAUUUUCUGAAUGGUUCAAAUGAAGCUCGACAUUAUUAAUAAUCUGGGAUCCAGCCCAUGACCCUCCUCCCAGCAUUUUCAUGAAAUUAGCUUAACGUACUGGCAAGGCCUUUUAUUGCCAUCAAAAUUAACAGCAGCUCUUCCAGUGGCAGCUCAUGUAAUUAUCUGGGUCUGUGCUUGUCUCACUGAAUAAGAGGAACUCCUGCCUGGAAGAGGCGAUACUCCUGCAUUCAAAGGGGAACAUGGCUGAGCAAGAUGGCUCAUGCCUGUAAUCCCAGCACUUUGGGAUGCCAAGAUAGAAGGAAUAUUUGAGCCCAGGAGUUUAAGACCAGCUUGGGCAACAUAGUCAGACCUCAUCUCUACAUUUUUUUUAAAUUAGUUGGGCGUGGUGGCACACAACUGUGGUCCCAGCUACUCUGGAGGGAGACUGAGACCAGAGGAUCGCUUGAGCCCAGGAGGUCGAGGCAGCCAUAAGCCAUGAUCACACCACUGCACUCCAGCCUGGGCAACAGAGUGAGACUCUGUCUCAAAACAAAAACAAAAACGAAAACAAAAAACAAAACAAAAAAACACCAAAAAACAAGUAAGGGGGGCGGGAUGCAAAAUGCUUGGCAAUCCCACCCCAAUUCAGGCAGGACUGGUUUCCCCAAGAGAUUUUCUGAGGCAGCCAGCUCCUCCGUGGCAGGACUUGCCAUGGUAAAGGGUAGGGCCGGGUGAGGCAGGGGAGUGGGGGCUGGGGAUGAUGUGUAAUAUUUCCAUCGGCAAAUAACAAGAUUCCCACCCCCAAGGAUGGAAAGUAUUAAGUGUAUCGUCUCACAAAGCAGGAAGCAAGGCUGGCUUCCCGGCUGUUGAUUCAGCGGCUCAGUGACAUCAGCAGUUGCAAGUUCUUUCAUCUCUCCCCUCUGCCACCCUUAAUAGGGCUUCCAGCCCAAGGACUGGGUCCCUUGGUGCCUUGGUGUCACUGGAGGGCUUCCGGAGCCACCAAGGAAACAUACCUAUUGUGUUUUUUGUUUUUUUUUCUUUUUAGAUGGAGUCUCACUCUUGUUACUCAGGCUGAAGUGCGGUGGCACAAUUUUGGCUCACUGCAACCUCCACUUCCUGGGUUCAAGUGAUUCUCCUGCCUCGGCCUCCCGAGUUGCUUGGAUUACAGGUGCGUGCCACCACACCCCGCUAGUUUUUGUAUUUUUAGUAGAGACAGGGUUUCACCAUGUUGGCUAGGCUGGUCUCAAACUCUUGACCUCAAGUGAUCCUUCCGCCUCAGCCUCCCAAAGUGCUGAAAAUUACAGGUGUAAGCCACUGUGCCCAGCCACAAACGUAAUGUUAACAGACUAGUGGGUUAGAAAGACAGGCUUCUCUUUUCCGAAGCCACAGCCUCUCCCCUGGGUCUUGACACCUAUUGUCAUAGGACUGUUUAUCUCUGAACCAGUCACUGGUGAAGGGGAUGAAACUGAUUGGUUCAGAAUAAUUAUCUGGCCCUGAUAUGGCUAUAGAGGAGUCAAUCCCAAGGCUCACUACAAGCAAGAAAUCCCUUUUAAAUAGAAGGAUUGGGGAAUUGCAUGUUCAGAGUAGCCUAAUAUUGUAUCAAAAUGAAUUGAAAUGAGAAUGACCAGGAUUAUAAUGGACCAUACUAGAUACUUCCUUAUCUGGAGUUUAGACCAAUCUAUAUCCACAGUCUGAGAUCACAGUCAGGGUCAGGGCAGUGUGUGUGACCAACUUCAGGAAACUCUGGUAGGCAUACAAACCAGAGGAUUCUUUGCUUUCACAGAAUUCUUGGAUCGAUUGAUUUAUUUUUAUACUUAUUUAUUUAUUUGGGCUGAGGAUCAAACUGUAUUGUCCAGCUGGCCUCAAAUCCUGGGCUCAAGUGAUCCUCCUGCCUCAUCCUCCCAAGUAGCUGUGCCUAGAGGCACACAUCGCACCCAGCUCUUUCACGGAAUUCUUGAAAGGAUAAAAAUCUGUUCUUGGAAAUGCCUGUGCUGGGAUCCAAAGCUAUUUUGGGAGCAGUGGAAGCUUCAGUCUUUAGUCGGAUAUUUAUGAACAGGAGAUGUUUAUGAACUCAAAGAUGUCCCUAUAUGACUUCACAUCCUGAACAUGUCUCCCAGUCCCAUGGCAGAGAAGAGAGGCACUUUUACUGUUGAGGUGGAAAACAGGAGGAAUAAUUCUACCUUGGUCUUAGGAAAAAUGUGGGGCAGUGCAAAGUGGGGCAGACCACACUGGGCUUGGAGCUCCACAACCUGAAAGCUCACUCCAGCUUCACAAACUCUCUAAGUGGUCUUAAGCAACUCCUUGCCCUCUCUCCUUCUAGGUUUCCACCCAUGCAAUGGUAGGGGAAUGGGCUAGAUGUGUGUCUUGAGGCCCUUGGGUGCUGUGGCCUUAGAAGAAGCCAGUUUGCAGGUUGAGUUGGGGCUUUUGGGCCGCAGGCUGCCAUCUGACAGGGCUUCCUGCAGGAAGACACCCUCCUUGGGAGCCUGGGGUUGUGGCUUCCUCUCUUCCUCAUGGCCCUUGGCAAUUUCUGUGUCUCCCCUCCCAUCACACUGCAACCCGCCUCCCGCCUCAUCUCUUGAGGCCCGCUUGGGUCCCAGGAGCUAGCCCCUCCCCCAAACUGCUGUGCACUGCUCUGUGGGCAGAGGGAGUCUUCCUGCUUCAAAACACUUACCAAAGGCUCUUUCCAUAGCAAGAUUCAGGGGCGGUUGGGGCACUGCUAUUUGAGGUUAAAAUCUGAUCACUGAAUAUUUUGGGAGCCUGGCACAUUGACCAGGAAAGAACAAGGCUGCCACCCCUUCCUGCUCUGCAACUCUCAGUCCUCCAUUCCGUGGGGCCAUCACAGGACACAGAAAGGCCACAAUAAACACACAUUCAGAGAACCCCCCACCACCUCCUGUGGCCUCCUGCAGACCGCAGGAGGGCUGGCCCAGAGUCUCCUCCUCCUCCUCCAUCCCCCAGACUCAAAGCUCCUGGGGUUGGGGGGCUGCGCAGGGCCUUCCCCUCCACUGUCCCCAUCAAAGCCCAGAACAGCACAGGGAGGGCACUUGGUGGGCUGAAAUAAAACUGACUUUUCCCUCAGACCUUCAGUCUCUUGCUUUCAAUAGACUGUUUUCAUUUACUCUUGAAAGUGGCUUCCCAGAAGCAGAGCUGAGACAAUGUUUUGUGUGCAGGUGGCUGUUUAAAAAACUGCCCAAGCGAAAAACAACCAGAAGAGAGAAGGGGAAGUAGGAAAGGAAGAGGAAGAAGCUAAGCAAAGGUGUGAUUUCAGGCACAGUCUCAAUGUUGGACUGAUCCCAGGAAGCUCCAGAAUGAAAAUGAAUCCUGUUUGUCCCAAUGAGAGGCAGGGAAGCUCACUUCCACAGAUGCACAGCAGUCAGACAUUGGCCAAGGGCUGCCCCUGGGGGAUGGGACUCCCAAGCACUUUCCCCUCUCCUUGCCUGUAGGCAAUCAGCUCUAGUAGCCUGGAAAGACUCUGUGAAGUCUGCACCCACCUUAGGGAGAUGCAAUGACAGCCUUCAAGGAUCAGAGAGUCACCCAGCAUCAGAGUUUGGGGCCUGGAGGUCCUCUAUCCCUUUCACUUUACUGGGAGGGAGACAGAGGCCAAAGAGAGGUCACAGAGCAGUUGGGAAUGGGAAAUGUCCCCAGCCUAUCUGGGCAGUCUGGGUCAAGGACGUGCCAAGCCUGGUGGCUGUGGGUGAGCUUGCUGAUUAGGAGGCCCUUGAGGCUCUUGGGCAGGUGUGGCCUCGACAGUGGCAAGGGCAGCUGUCUCUGGGGUGGAUGGGACAGGCGCCCCCACUUCAGGUCUCCUGCGUUAGUCCCCCGUACCCCCACUCCAUUGCCCACGGGCACUAGAACAGAAUCCCAUCCAUGUGUGGGAGAGACUGAUGUUGUACCCUUGAGUUAUCUAUAAUAGGAUGCUGACCCCAAAUCAGGCCCCAUAGAGAGGGCAUCUCAUCAGGCAGCUGGCUGGGGCAGAGAUCUGGAGGGAGGAGAACCCUCCCUGAGGUGGAUCCUGGCAUGUUGCAGAGAUACCUGGAAUUCUGUACCCAGGCAAGGCCAGUUCAAAUGGCCAAGUCUGGGGGAAGCCAGGCACAAUUCAGUGUAAGGGGGUCUAAAGUGGUAGAUCAGGGGUUAGGGGACUGUAACUUCUCUUCACUGACUUCCUGUGAGACUUUGGAAGUCUUUCUCCCUUCUCAGCCUCAGUUUCCCCUCCUGUGCUGUGGGGCUCAAUUUCCCUCCUUCCUGCCUCAUCUUGGGGUUGGGUCUGUCACAUUCUCACUCCUCAAGCCUGUCCCUACCAAAUCCAAGCUGAGGAAGGGUGCCUCAGUGCAGCGCCUCCCAGGAAAAGAUUGCUCAGGUGCUGUCCUCUUCUGUGUCCUCUUCAAAGUGCCCCAAAUAGACUUUCCUGGGGAAGCCAGAGGAAUCAGGCUAUGAAGAGUGACCCCGUGCAGUGCAGCAUCUGUGAAUCCUGCAGCCCCAUCUUCCUGCGUCCUUAUCUCCAGACUCAGCUGGGAACUUGAUGUAUUUAUUUGCCUCUCCCAGGGCCCCACUGUGUCCAACCCACAUAUCUUCCGGCUGUCUGGUAGCCCCGUGCAGGCAAGGAGGGAGGGAAUUGCUAUAAAUCCCUCCAGCCUGCAGCCAGCAGGGUGACCCUGUCAGGUAGAGGAGACAAUCAAGGUGGCUUGGAGAGAUGGGGACAAAGGCACCAGGAGAAGAAGCUUGGGAUAGAGUCACCUAGAUACUAAAUGGGCUGGAAUCAGGGGAGAGGAGAGUGAGAGAGGAAGGGGAAGGGAAGAGGGAUAGGGUGGGCAGGGGAGGAGAGAAAAAAGGAGAGAACAGAGGAAAGGAGAACAGAGGAGAGGAGAGGAAGGGCAGGAAGGGAAGAAGCAGACUGCUUUCUAGUGCAUUCUGGGAGUCAGCACAAUGCCUUCUGGUCUAGGGUGCUGGGUGUAUAGAGUUAUUUUUUAGUGUGUUGCCAAUCACUAAAUUUAGUACUUUCUAUAUGCUGUCUCAUUCAAUCCUCACAAUUUGUGAAGUAUGCAUUAUCACCCCCAUUUGCAUAUGAGAUCACAAAGGGUAAGCAGGUUGUCCAAGGUCACACAGCAAAGCUGGGAUUUAAAGCCAGGUCCCUCCAAAGCCUAUCUUUUAACUUCCACACACACACAGCUCCCUGUUCCCAAGCCGACUCUAUGAGUGCACCACCGUAAACCCAGCCACACCCCCCUCACCUACCCUCUGCCUCCCCGUGGGUUGGUCUGACUUUUUUUUUUUUUUUUUUUUGAGAUGGAGUCUCUCUCUAUUGCCCAGGCUGGUUUGCAGUGGUUCAAUCUCGACUCACUGCAACCUCCACCUCCCGGGUUCAAGCGAUCCUCCCACCUCAGACUCUGGAGUAGCUUGGGAUUACAGGCACACGCCAUCACACCCGGCUAAUUUUUGUACUUUUAGUAGAAAUGGAGCUUCACCAUGUUGGCCAGGCUGUUCUCAAACUCCUGACCUAAGGUAGGCAGUUUCCCCAUCUGUCUUCAUCCUACUGCCUGGCAUCGUAUCCAUCAAACUGUUUUUAGAGUUAUGUCUUGAUAAGAUAAAAAUCAUGGUGGGAGUCAUUUACACCCUAGUGAGAGUCACCUAAGAUUCCCUUAUCUUCUCAGACCUUUUAGCUGAAGUUGGUUAUGAGAGAGGAUGGGGUUGGGGCAAGCGCUUGGAGCCUGCACUGUUUCUUGCUGAUGCCCUGGCACAGUGUGAAUAUGUCAAUCUAAAUGGAGAGCUCUAUGCAUGUUCCUCUUUAUUCCCUUUGUCACCAAUACCAAUUCCCAAGGCCGAGCCCUGGGAGGGCUGGCCUGAAGGACCUGGAGGUAAUAGAAAACGCUUGGCUUUGGGUUUCAGGUCAAGCUCUGCCAGUGACUUGCUGUGUAAGAUGAGACAAGUCAGUUCACCUCUCUGCACUUCAGUGACCUCAUGUAUAAAAGGCUGGUCUGCUCUAGAUUAUUAAUUUUCUUUAGGUUUUGCAAUUGUUUUUUGUUUUAACAUUAUAUUCAAUUAUUCCCUCAUCUUUAUUAAAGUAUAAUUGACAAAUAAAAAUUGUGUAUAUUUCCAGUGUUCAAUGUGAUAUAUGCAUACAUUGUGAAAUGAUUAAAUCAAGUUAAUUAACAUUUUAA